AAUCCAUAGGUUAAUGAGGCGAACCGGGGGAACUGAAACAUCUAAGUACCCCGAGGAAAAGAAAUCAACCGAGAUUCCCCCAGUAGCGGCGAGCGAACGGGGAGGAGCCCAGAGCCUGAAUCAGCAUGUGUGUUAGUGGAAGCGUCUGGAAAGGCGCGCGAUACAGGGUGACAGCCCCGUACACAAAAGCGCAUGUGCUGUGAGCUCGAUGAGUAGGGCGGGACACGUGGUAUCCUGUCUGAAUAUGGGGGGACCAUCCUCCAAGGCUAAAUACUCCUGACUGACCGAUAGUGAACCAGUACCGUGAGGGAAAGGCGAAAAGAACCCCGGCGAGGGGAGUGAAAAAGAACCUGAAACCGUGUACGUACAAGCAGUGGGAGCACCCUUUGGGUGUGACUGCGUACCUUUUGUAUAAUGGGUCAGCGACUUAUAUUCUGUAGCAAGGUUAACCGAAUAGGGGAGCCGGAGGGAAACCGAGUCUUAACCGGGCGUUAAGUUGCAGGGUAUAGACCCGAAACCCGGUGAUCUAGCCAUGGGCAGGUUGAAGGUUGGGUAACACUAACUGGAGGACCGAACCGACUAAUGUUGAAAAAUUAGCGGAUGACCUGUGGCUGGGGGUGAAAGGCCAAUCAAACCGGGAGAUAGCUGGUUCUCCCCGAAAGCUAUUUAGGUAGCGCCUCGUGAAUUCAUCUCCGGGGGUAGAGCACUGUUUCGGCUAGGGGGCCAUCCCGGCUUACCAACCCGAUGCAAACUGCGAAUACCGGAGAAUGUUAUCACGGGAGACACACGGCGGGUGCUAACGUCCGUCGUGAAGAGGGAAACAACCCAGACCGCCAGCUAAGGUCCCAAAGUCAUGGUUAAGUGGGAAACGAUGUGGGAAGGCCCAGACAGCCAGGAUGUUGGCUUAGAAGCAGCCAUCAUUUAAAGAAAGCGUAAUAGCUCACUGGUCGAGUCGGCCUGCGCGGAAGAUGUAACGGGGCUAAACCAUGCACCGAAGCUGCGGCAGCGACGCUUAUGCGUUGUUGGGUAGGGGAGCGUUCUGUAAGCCUGCGAAGGUGGCCUGUGAGGGUUGCUGGAGGUAUCAGAAGUGCGAAUGCUGACAUAAGUAACGAUAAAGCGGGUGAAAAGCCCGCUCGCCGGAAGACCAAGGGUUCCUGUCCAACGUUAAUCGGGGCAGGGUGAGUCGACCCCUAAGGCGAGGCCGAAAGGCGUAGUCGAUGGGAAACGGGUUAAUAUUCCCGUACUUGGUGUUACUGCGAAGGGGGGACGGAGAAGGCUAUGUUGGCCGGGCGACGGUUGUCCCGGUUUAAGCGUGUAGGUGUGUGUUCCAGGUAAAUCCGGUUCACUUUAACACUGAGGCGUGACGACGAGGCACUACGGUGCUGAAGCAACAAAUGCCCUGCUUCCAGGAAAAGCCUCUAAGCAUCAGGUAACAUCAAAUCGUACCCCAAACCGACACAGGUGGUCAGGUAGAGAAUACCAAGGCGCUUGAGAGAACUCGGGUGAAGGAACUAGGCAAAAUGGUGCCGUAACUUCGGGAGAAGGCACGCUGACACGUAGGUGAAGUGAUUUACUCAUGGAGCUGAAGUCAGUCGAAGAUACCAGCUGGCUGCAACUGUUUAUUAAAAACACAGCACUGUGCAAACACGAAAGUGGACGUAUACGGUGUGACGCCUGCCCGGUGCCGGAAGGUUAAUUGAUGGGGUCAGCGCAAGCGAAGCUCCUGAUCGAAGCCCCGGUAAACGGCGGCCGUAACUAUAACGGUCCUAAGGUAGCGAAAUUCCUUGUCGGGUAAGUUCCGACCUGCACGAAUGGCGUAAUGAUGGCCAGGCUGUCUCCACCCGAGACUCAGUGAAAUUGAACUCGCUGUGAAGAUGCAGUGUACCCGCGGCAAGACGGAAAGACCCCGUGAACCUUUACUAUAGCUUGACACUGAACAUUGAGCCUUGAUGUGUAGGAUAGGUGGGAGGCUUUGAAGUGUGGACGCCAGUCUGCAUGGAGCCGACCUUGAAAUACCACCCUUUAAUGUUUGAUGUUCUAACGUGGACCCGUUACCCGGGUUGCGGACAGUGUCUGGUGGGUAGUUUGACUGGGGCGGUCUCCUCCUAAAGAGUAACGGAGGAGCACGAAGGUUGGCUAAUCCUGGUCGGACAUCAGGAGGUUAGUGCAAUGGCAUAAGCCAGCUUGACUGCGAGCGUGACGGCGCGAGCAGGUGCGAAAGCAGGUCAUAGUGAUCCGGUGGUUCUGAAUGGAAGGGCCAUCGCUCAACGGAUAAAAGGUACUCCGGGGAUAACAGGCUGAUACCGCCCAAGAGUUCAUAUCGACGGCGGUGUUUGGCACCUCGAUGUCGGCUCAUCACAUCCUGGGGCUGAAGUAGGUCCCAAGGGUAUGGCUGUUCGCCAUUUAAAGUGGUACGCGAGCUGGGUUUAGAACGUCGUGAGACAGUUCGGUCCCUAUCUGCCGUGGGCGCUGGAGAACUGAGGGGGGCUGCUCCUAGUACGAGAGGACCGGAGUGGACGCAUCACUGGUGUUCGGGUUGUCAUGCCAAUGGCACUGCCCGGUAGCUAAAUGCGGAAGAGAUAAGUGCUGAAAGCAUCUAAGCACGAAACUUGCCCCGAGAUGAGUUCUCC
rnacentral:rRNA from 1 species